AUAUAUGCUUUUUGUGUGUGUUUGUGUUUACGUCGCAGAUAAAAUUUGCUACAGUGAAAAGUCCCCUGUUAUGAAAAGUUUCUUGCUGCAAACUUGAUUUCGUUGUAGAAGAGUUUCACUGGAAUGCAUAAAGAUUGU